CGAAUGGGGAAACCCAGUGGAAGUAAUGUUCCACUAUCCCGUACUGAAUCCAUAGGUGCGGGAAGCGAGACGCGGGGAAGUGAAACAUCUCAGUACCCGCAGGAGAAGAAAUCAACCGAGAUUCCGCAAGUAGUGGCGAGCGAACGCGGAGAAGGCUAAACCGUCCGGUUUACCGGGCGGGGUUGCGGGACUUCAAUACGGCAAGACCAGUCGAUAGCGGAAGCUGUUGGAAAGCAGCGGCAUAGAAGGUGAUACCCCUGUAUGCGAAAUUGACUGUAAGCCCAGAAGGAUCCCAAGUAGGUCGGAACACGUGAAACUCUGACUGAAUCCGGGGGGCCCACCCUCCAAGCCUGAAUACUCGAUCGUGACCGAUAGCGCAUAGUACCGCGAGGGAAAGGUGAAAAAGUACCCCGGAAGGGGAGUGAAAAGUAUCUGAAAUCAUGUGUCUACAAAGUGUCGGAGCGAAAGCGACGGCAUGCCUUUUGCAUAAUGAGCCUGCGACUUACUCUAACGAGCGAGGUUAAGCCGAGUGCGGAGCCGAAGCGAAAGCGAGUGUGAAUAGCGCGUCUAGUUCGUUGGAGUAGACCCGAAGCUGAGUGAUCUAUCCAUGGCCAGGUUGAACCUGCAGUAACAUGCAGCGGAGGACCGAACCAGUUCAUGUUGAAAAAUGUUUGGAUGAGCUGUGGAUAGGGGUGAAAGGCCAAUCAAACUCAGUGAUAGCUGGUUCUCUUCGAAAUAGCUUUAGGGCUAGCCUUGCGUAAAUAGUUUGUGGGGGUAGAGCUACUGAUUGUUCGCGGGCCCUUACCGGGGUACCAAGAACUAUUAAACUCCGAAUACCAUGAACCGUACCGCAGGAGUCAGACUAUGGGGGAUAAGCUUCAUGGUCGAGAGGGAGACAGCCCAGACCGCCGGCUAAGGUCCCCAAUCCGGACUUAGUGGUUUGAAGGAUGUGAUGUUGCAUAAACAGCCAGGAUGUUGGCUUAGAGGCAGCCAUCAUUUAAAGAGUGCGUAAUAGCUCACUGGUCGAGUGAUAUCGCGCCGAAGAUGAUCGGGACUGAAGUCCAGAACCGAAGCCGCGGAUCGUGAAUUUAUUCACGGUGGUAGAAGAGCGUUGUAUGCGGGUCGAAGCCGAAGAGGGAUCUGAGGUGGACUGCAUACAAGUGACCAUGCAGGCAUGAGUAGCGAAAAACCGGAUGAGAAUUCCGGUCACCGAAAACCUAAGGUUUCCCGGGGAAGGUUCGUCCGCCCGGGGUUAGUCGGAACCUAAGGCGAGGCCGAAAGGCGUAGUCGAUGGAGGACAGGUUAAUAUUCCUGUACCACCUUGUUGGAGUGAUGGAGGGACGCAGUAAGUCAGGUGAGCCAACUGCUGAAUAUGUUGGUCGAAGGCCGUAGGGCGCACGAUAGGCAAAUCCGUCGUGCUUUCAACCCGAGAGUCGUAAGGUAGCCGAACGCAAGUUUGGCGAAUUCACUGUGACGACGCUGACGAGAAAAGCUUCUAAACGUUGAAAACAGGGUGUCCGUACCGAAACCGACACAGGUAGGUGAGGCGAGCAGCCUAAGGUGCGCGAGAGAAACCAACGUUAAGGAACUCGGCAAAUUGACCCCGUAACUUAGGGAUAAGGGGUGCCGCUUCAGGUGAAGGGACUUGCUCCCGGAGCCCAGAGCGGUUGCAACAAAGAGGCUGGUGCGACUGUUUAACAAAAACACAGCUCUAUGCUAACUCGCAAGAGGAUGUAUAUGGAGUGACACGUGACCAAUGCCAAAAGGUCAAUGGGAGAGGUUAGCGCAAGCGAAGCUUCGAUCUGAAGCCCUGGUGAAUGUCGGCCGUAACUAUAACGGUCCUAAGGUAGCGAAAUUCCUUGUCGGG
rnacentral:rRNA from 1 species